rnacentral:rRNA from 1 species
GAUGAACGCUGGCGGCGUGCCUAACACAUGCAAGUCGAGCGAAGUGAGUACUACGGUACGAACUUAGCGGCGGACGGGUGAGUAACGCGUGGACAAUCUACCCUGUAGACUGGGAUAACACCUCGAAAGGGGUGCUAAUACCGGAUAAUGUCGAGAAGCGGCAUCGCUUUUCGAAGAAAGGAGAGAAUCCGCUAUAGGAGGAGUCCGCGUCCCAUUAGCUAGUUGGUGAGGGUAACGGCCCACCACGGCGACGAUGGGUGGCCGGCCUGAGAGGGUGAACGGCCACACUGGAACUGAGACACGGUCCAGACUCCUACGGGAGGCAGCAGUGGGGAAUAUUGUGCAAUGGGGGAAACCCUGACACAGCAACGCCGCGUGAGCGAAGAAGGCCUUCGGGUUGUAAAGCUCAAUAGUAUGGGAAGAUAAUGACGGUACCAUACGAAAGCCCCGGCUAACUACGUGCCAGCCGCCGCCGUAACAC